rnacentral:rRNA from 1 species
AACGAACGCUGGCGGCAUGCCUAACACAUGCAGGUCGAACGAGACCUUCGGGUCUAGUGGCGCACGGGUGCGUAACGCGUGGGAACCUGCCCUUAGGUUCGGAAUAACUCCCCGAAAGGGGUGCUAAUACCGGAUAAUGUCUUCGGACCAAAGAUUUAUCGACUUUGGAGGGGCCCGCGUUGGAUUAGCUAGUUGGUAGGGUAAAAGCCUACCAAGGCGACGAUCCAUAGCUGGUCUGAGAGGAUGAUCAGCCACACUGGGACUGGGACACGGCCCAGACUCCUACGGGAGGCAGCAGUGGGGAAUAUUGGACAAUGGGCGAAAGCCUGAACCAGCAAGGCCGCGUGAGUGAUGAAGGCCUUAGGGUUGUAAAGCUCUUUUACCCGGGAUGAUAAUGACAGUACCGGAAGAAUAAGCUCCGGCUAACUCCGUG